AUGAGGGCAGAGAGCGGUGGGCUGGGUUUCCUCUUCAUUUCAGACUAUGACCGCUGCACCGCCCAAUUAUGGAAGAGGGUGACUGACUGUGAUGGUAUUGCUUCAUGGGUGCUUGCAAGAACUAUUCAACUUGACAAGCUUCUAUCCCUGAAUCCAAAGGAGGGAGAGCGCAUAGUGAUGCUAGGGUUUGCUGAGAACAACAAUGUGUUGUUGCUGUGGACGGUUGUUGACGUCUUCACGCUCCAUCUCGAGUCAUUGAAGUUCAAGAAGCUUUUCAAAACUAUGCAAAUGUCUCACUAUCAUCCAUUCGAAAGUGUCUACACUGAAGGUAUAUGUGUCGAUAAUUGGCUGAUGAAAUUAUGUUCACAUCAUUUUGUGUUAAGCCAACAAUUUGAAGUACUGUUAUAUCAUUUAGUCUUAUUUUGCUGA
rnacentral:rRNA from 1 species